rfam:BtMs-AlphaCoV/GS2013, complete genome.
UUAACUAGAUAUCAUUGAUUAUUACACUUCAAACCUAGUACAUACUCCAGUAAUGCGCACCCUAGCCGUCAGCUGAAAAGCGGGCUAGCAAGUGUAGGUGCUACUCUUAUACAGAAUGGUAGGCUCGUAUAUAAGCUAGUAUAAGUAGAGUUUAUAUAUAUUGCUGCGCUUAGACCAACGCAUAAGAUUCAUGACCUCCUAGAGUCAGGGUAAGUACAAAGAUCGCUUAGACGAGCCCACUGUGGAAGAACUGUCAUAGGAACUUGAUAUCUUAUAGUUAGUAGUUGCUAGUAGUUGCGGCUUUGAUAGGGAUACAC